UGUGCCUCUUGAAUAACCAGUUGCUUUGAUUACUAUGCUUGCAUUUGGUUCAGACAGGGGCACAUAAUAAAUGGGAUCAUUUGAGGAAGGAUUCUUGUCUUUUUUUGUCCCUUCUUAGAUUGAUUCCUAUAGUU
rfam:Zea mays cultivar B73 chromosome 1, whole genome shotgun sequence.